AAAGCGAGGAGGGAGAAGCUAGAGGCAUGCAUGACGUGCCCUCUUUGUAAUAAGCUCUUGAGCAAAGCUACUACCAUCUCUCUCUGCCUCCACACGUGUUAAGUCAUUUGAAUCAACAACUGAAGUAGAUGAGUGGCUGUUUUCUAAUCCUAUGCUGACCCCCGGAGCCUUGCAUUUUGCUUAACAAAAUGCUACUGUAAUUAACUAUGUAUACAGACUAAUUCAACUCCAUUAGAAAAAAAAAGGGAACUAUGAACACCCCACAUUAAAGUUUCAAAUACCACUUCAGAUUGCAGCAGAGCGUGAAAUUGCUAGGUCUCUCAUUGGAGCUAAAUCCAGCACAAGAAAGAUGAGCAAUCAAUGAAGUGAUAUCUCAGUAUAUGAUUGCAAUUGAGUCAGGAAAUCAAUCAAAGAGACUGCCUUAAUUCUCUCUAAUGAUGAUAUUAAGGAGUCAUCACUAUUCGUUUUGUAGCUUUAAAUAGAUUAUAUGGUAAAUCAUUGCACUCUUAUUCCUUAAUGAAAAAACCAUAUGUAUCUUGUUUUGAGUGUUUAUAUUAUAUUUGUGAUCCUAAACUCUGUAUUUAUAGUUGUUUUAAUAGAUUGGAUAUGGUUUAGGUGAUAGCUUUUAGGGUUGGGUGCCGACCUAGUCGGCAUGCUUUUCUACUGGC